rnacentral:rRNA from 1 species
GACGAAGGGGGCUAGCGUUGUUCGGAAUUACUGGGCGUAAAGCGAGUGUAGGUGGUUGUCCAAGUUGGAUGUGAAAGCCUUGAGCUCAACUCAAGAAAUGCAUUCAGGACUGGGCGGCUAGAGGACCGGAGAGGAUAGUGGAAUUCCCAGUGUAGUGGUGAAAUACGUAGAGAUUGGGAAGAACACCAGUGGCGAAGGCGGCUAUCUGGACGGUUUCUGACACUAAGACUCGAAAGCGUGGGGAGCAAACAGGAUUAGAUACCCUGGUAGUCCACGCCGUAAACGAUGGGUGCUAGACGUUGGCGAGCUUGCUCGUCAGUGUCGCAGCUAACGCGUUAAGCACCCCGCCUGGGGAGUACGGCCGCAAGGUUGAA